GGUGUAGCCCAGAAGAGAGUGAUGGCGGCGCCGCCCAAUGGACGCGUGGGUGGAAGGGCCCGAGCCUCCUCAUCCACCCCCUCCUUCCGCCCCCCACUUGUGCAUGCCUCUGCCCCCCCGGGCCGCGGAACUCUCCUGGGGCGACCCCGAGUCCCACCCCGCUGCUCCGUGCCGUCCUCGCAGCUCGAGCCCUCCUCCAGCCCAGCAGUGCUCCCGCAGCGUCUGGCCGCUGGUCGUCGGCAGACGAAAGGGCUUGAACCGCGGCUGACCUUAGCCUUUGUCCCUCGGCCUAGUUCCGCAGCUGCCGUCGAGGCCGCCAGCCCCUCCCCCAGCAUGUUUGGGCUAAGCCGCCUCCUUUCCGCCUGCGUUGGAGAGAGAGGUACCAGAAGGAAUGAAAGGACUGGGGCUUGUCUCCAUGGCAACUGAAAGAAAGAGAGAAAAAUUGGUCACCUCCAGGACUGAGACCCUGACCCUUCCAAGCAUCCCCACUACCAAAGGCUGCCCAAGCCCGGAAGGAUCCCAUCCCGUUCUGUACUCUGAGGUCACUUCCUCACUCCGUCAAAUUUCACUGGACUGUGGGCUAAUUAAAAGUGCCUCCGUAUUAGCGGGGCGUGGUGGCCCAUGCCUAUAAUCCCAGCUACUUGGGAAGCUGAGGCAGGAAAAUUGCUUGAACCCGGGUGGCGGAGGCUGCAGUGACCCAACAUUGUGCAACAAGAGCGAAACUCCGUCUCAAAAAAAAUAAAAAAUAAAAAAGAGUGCCUCCCUGGGGAGACUGUAAUGCCCACUGGGCAGUGAUCCUAAUGCCCCUUGGGCAGUGAUCCUUAUUCCCCUCUCCCAUAAUGAUUGGUUGUAGCAGGCUGAACAAAAAGGUUGAGCUUCGCUUGUGCUUGCUGAAUAGAAUUCUCACGCCCACUCCACGUUAGCUCCCCUCACUGUAGGACUAGCUCUGAAAAUUCUAGCUCCUGUAGGAAGCCAACACAGACGGAUCUACAAGAACCAAAAACAGCUAUAGCUACUCUUCUAAAUCUCAGUGCCUGACAUUGCCUCUCUUUCUGCCUCCUCUCUCCACCCCCCAAAAAAUGUGGUCCUCCUUGACCUGAGGGAGCUUCCGUCCAAGUCUGAGCUCUGAUCAUCCUGAAGAAUCAAAGUAUCAUCAUCCCUUGGCUGGCAAGAUGAACUCCAACAUCAAAACACUUGAAACAGUAGUAUUUUUACACAAUUUGCCCACUGCCUCUACAUCUCACUUAGUCCUUGCAGUAACAUUUGGAUGAUGAGGUAACUUAUCCAGAAGCACAAAGCCUAAAGAAUGACAGAGCUUGGACUCCUGAGAAGUUCAGCUACUGCCCGCCUUAUGAUAACCAAAAGAAAGCGGCCGGGCGCAGUGGCUCAACUCCUGUAAUCCCAGCACUUUGGGAGGCCGAGGCGUGCGAAUCACAAGGUCAGGAGUCCGAGACCAGCCUGGCCAACACAGGGAAACCCCGUCUCUACUAAAAAAAACAAACACAAAAAUUAGUUGGGCGUGGUGGUGGGCACCUGUAAUCCCAGCUACUUGGGAGGCUGAGGCAGGAGAGUCACUUGAAUCCGGUAGGCGGAGGUUGCAGUGAGCCGAGAUCGUGCCACUGCACUCCAGCCUGGGAGACAGUGAGACUCCGUCUCUAAAAAAAAAUGAAUAAAUAAAUAAGAAGGCACACCACAAGUUCGAGACCACUUCUACAAAAAAUAAAAAAUAAAAAAAAUUAGGCCAGGCACAGUGGCUCAUGCCUGUAAUCCAAGCACUUUGGGAGGCUGAGGCGGGCGGAUCACUGGAGGUCAGGAGUUUCAGACCAGCCUGGCCCAACAUGGUGAAACCCUGUCUCUACUAAAAAUACAAAACUUAGCUGGGCGUAGUGGUGCGUGCCUGUAAUCCCACUUACUCCAGAAGCUGAGGCAGAAGAACUGCUUGAACCUGGGAUGCAGAGGUUGCAGUGAGCUGAGAUUGCACCACUGCACUCCAGCCUGGGCAACAGAGUGGGACUCUGCCUCAAAAAAAAAAAAAAAAAGAAAAUGAAGAUGACCAAAUGGGCUUCUAGAUGGCUAAUGAUAUUCUGUUUCUUUGAUCUGGGUGGGGGUUACAUGGGUGUGUUCCCUUUGUAAUAUGUUAUCAAGACAUUUUGUGCACUUUUUUGGGUAUUAUACUGAAAGAAAACAUUUAUUUUUUAAAAAGUUGAAAAAUUGCCUUGGAGCAGAGUAAGGUAAAUCUAUGAUUAAGCUUAGAUUUUUUUAUUUUUUAUUUUUUAUUUUUUUUCAAAAAAAAUGAGGCCAGGCGCGGUGGCUCACGCCUGUAAUCCCAGCACGUUGGGAGGCCGAGGUGGGCAGAUCACGAGGUCAGGAGGUCGAGACCAUCCUGGCUAACACGGUGAAAUCCCAUCUCUACUAAAAAUACAAAAAAUUAGCCAGGCAUGGUGGCAGGCACCUGUAGUCCCAGCUACUCGGGAGGCUGAGGCAGGAGAAUGGCAUGAACCUGGGAGGCAGAGCUUGCAGUGAGCCAAGGUCACGCCACUGCACUCCAGCCUGGGUGACAGAGCAAGACUCGUCUCAAAAAAAAAAAAAAAAGUAAAAUGAACCUAACAAGAGGCA